AGAGUUUGAUCCUGGCUCAGGAUGAACGCUAGCGGCAGGCUUAACACAUGCAAGUCGAGGGGCAGCGGGGAGGAAGCUUGCUUUCUCCGCCGGCGACCGGCGCACGGGUGAGUAACACGUAUGCAACCUGCCCCUGUCAGGGGGACAACCCGCCGAAAGGCGGGCUAAACCCGCGUACAUGCCACCGGGGCAUCCCGGAGGAAGGAAAGGCUUCGGCCGGACAGGGAUGGGCAUGCGGCGCAUUAGGCAGUAGGCGGGGUAACGGCCCACCUAACCGACGAUGCGUAGGGGUUCUGAGAGGAAGGUCCCCCACACCGGUACUGAGACACGGACCAGACUCCUACGGGAGGCAGCAGUGAGGAAUAUUGGUCAAUGGGGGAAACCCUGAUGCAGCGACGCCGCGUGAGUGAAGAAGUAUUUCGGUACGUAAAGCUCUAUCAGCAGGGAAGAAAAAAAGUCCACAGGACUUUGGACGGUACCUGACUAAGAAGCCCCGGCUAACUACGUGCCAGCAGCCGCGGUAAUACGUAGGGGGCAAGCGUUAUCCGGAUUUACUGGGUGUAAAGGGAGCGUAGACGGCUGUGCAAGUCUGAAGUGAAAUGCCGGGGCCCAACCCCGGAACUGCUUUGGAAACUGUACAGCUAGAGUGCAGGAGGGGUGAGCGGAAUUCCUAGUGUAGCGGUGAAAUGCGUAGAUAUUAGGAGGAACACCGGUGGCGAAGGCGGCUCACUGGACUGUAACUGACGUUGAGGCUCGAAAGCGUGGGGAGCAAACAGGAUUAGAUACCCUGGUAGUCCACGCCGUAAACGAUCAUUAAAAGGUGUCGGGGGGCCAAGCCCCUGGGGGGCGGGGGCAAAGGCAUUAAGUAAUCCACGGGGGGAGGACGUUCGCAAGGAAAGAAACUCAAAAGGAAUGGACGGGGACCCGCGCAAGCGGUGGAGCAUGUGGUUUAAUCCGAAGCAACGCGAGGAACCUUACCCGGCCUUGACAUCCCGAUGAAUGUACAGUAAUGUGUACAGGACUUCGGUACAUCGGAGACAGGUGGUGCAUGGUUGUCGUCAGCUCGUGUCGUGAGAUGUUGGGUUAAGUCCCGCAACGAGCGCAACCCCUGCCCUCAGUAGCCAGCAGGUGAAGCUGGGAACUCUGAGGGGACUGCCCGGGAUAACCGGGAGGAAGGCGGGGAUGACGUCAAAUCAUCAUGCCCCUUAUGGCCGGGGCUACACACGUGCUACAAUGGCGGAAACAGAGGGAGGCAGCCCCGUGAGGGUGAGCGAACCCCAAAAAUACCGCCUCAGUUCGGAUUGUAGUCUGCAACCCGACUACAUGAAGCCGGAAUCGCUAGUAAUCGCGAAUCAGAAUGUCGCGGUGAAUACGUUCCCGGGUCUUGUACUCACAGCCCGUCA
rnacentral:rRNA from 1 species